rnacentral:tRNA from 1 species
UUUUAUAAGUUUUUGAACGAUAUUUCUAUAAAAUAUAAAAACAUAUUACUUAUGUAUAAAAA